rnacentral:lncRNA from 1 species
GCGACCUGUCAGGCCUCAGAAAGGUCCUCAUUUAGGUUCUCUUUUGAAUCCUCAUCGAAACGCUUUUCGUUUCGUCUCAAUCGGAGUUUCCAUUGAGAUUUUCGACGAAAACAAGUAAGACUCGUCUAAACUCCUUCGCUUGCUCCUACUCGCCCUUACCUCCAUCUUUGUGUUCUCCUUCAAAUCUUGAUCGAAACGUCUCUUGUUUCGUCUUGAUUGGAUUUACCAUUGAAACUUUACGAUAAAAAAAAACCGCAAAG